AUUGAACGCUGGCGGCAUGCUUUACACAUGCAAGUCGAACGGCAGCACGGGGGCAACCCUGGUGGCGAGUGGCGAACGGGUGAGUAACACAUCGGAACGUGUCCUGUAGUGGGGGAUAACCUGGCGAAAGCCAGGCUAAUACCGCAUGAUCUCGUGAGAGCAAAGCGGGGGACUCGCAAGAGCCUCGCGCUGUUGGAGCGGCCGAUGUCCGAUUAGCUAGUUGGUGGGGUAAAGGCCUACCAAGGCGACGAUCGGUAGCUGGUCUGAGAGGAUGAUCAGCCACACUGGGACUGAGACACGGCCCAGACUCCUACGGGAGGCUG
rnacentral:rRNA from 1 species